rnacentral:misc_RNA from 1 species
GAGAAUAUGCCAAAAACCUGUCCUGAGUAAUACAAACAAGAAACAUAUAAUUAGUAAACUUUAGAUACAAACUCAUCAAUAACAUAAUAAUAUAAGAGGGAAAAAAAAUAAUGCCCCUAUCACAUCAUAUUGCCCAUUUGCACCACAUAUCUACCACAGGGUCAUUUUGUUAAAAAUGUCACCCGUACAAUUUUAUAUGAAUAUCACUGAAACCAACUAUCCAAGUCUAAUCCAAUCACCAUUCCUAUAGUAUCCAAAAAUAUAAAAUCAUAUAAACUGUUUCCUCUUUUUCAUAAUCAACCUCAACAGCCAUAAAAAAAUUCCCAGUCUCAAGCUCUUAAAUUCUUUGGUUGCAAUAUUGCCUUCAAACCCCAUCUUUAUGCUAAAAUUUUAUCAUUGCCAAUAAAAAAAGGAAGUAAAAAUUCUCAUCCAUGAGCUCCUCUGAAGAUCCA